GACGAACGCUGGCGGCGUGCUUAACACAUGCAAGUCGAACGAUGAACCGGAGCUUGCUCUGGGGAUUAGUGGCGAACGGGUGAGUAACACGUGGGCAACCUGCCCCAGACACCGGGAUAACCAUUCGAAAGGAUGGCUAAUACCGGAUACGACCACUUCGGGCAUCCGAUGGUGGUGGAAAGGAUUCUGGUCUGGGAUGGGCCCGCGGCCUAUCAGCUUGUUGGUGGGGUAAUGGCCUACCAAGGCGACGACGGGUAGCCGGCCUGAGAGGGCGACCGGCCACACUGGGACUGAGGCACGGCCCAGACUCCUACGGGAGGCAGCAGUGGGGAAUAUUGCGCAAUGGGCGAAAGCCUGACGCAGCGACGCCGCGUGAGGGACGAAGGUCUUCGGAUUGUAAACCUCUUUCAGCAGGGAUGAAGCGAAAGUGACAGUACCUGCAGAAGAAGCACCGGCUAACUACGUGCCAGCAGCCGCCGUAA
rnacentral:rRNA from 1 species